GAUGAGAACGUAGCGAAAUGCGAUAAGUAAUGUGAAUUGCAGAAUUCAGUGAAUCAUCGAAUCUUUGAACGCACAUUGCGCCCCCUGGUAUUCCGGGGGGCAUGCCUGUUCGAGCGUCAUUUCACCACUCAAGCCUCGCUUGGUAUUGGGCAACGCGGUCCGCCGCGUGCCUCAAAUCGUCCGGCUGGGUCUUCUGUCCCCUAAGCGUUGUGGAAACUAUUCGCUAAAGGGUGUUCGGGAGGCUACGCCGUAAAACAACCCCAUUUCUAAGGUUGACCUCGGAUCAGGUAGGGAUACCCGCUGAACUUAAGCAUAUCAAUAAGCGGAGGA
rnacentral:misc_RNA from 1 species